rnacentral:misc_RNA from 1 species
GAUGAAGAACGUAGCGAAAUGCGAUAAGUAAUGCGAAUUGCAGAAUUUCCGUGAGUCAUCGAAUCUUUGAACGCACAUUGCGCCCCUUGGUAUUCCAUGGGGCAUGCCUGUUCGAGCGUCAUUUGUACCUUCAAGCUUUGCUUGGUGUUGGGUGUUUGUCUCGCCUUUGCGUGUAGACUCGCCUUAAAAUAAUUGGCAGCCGGCGUAUUGAUUUCGGAGCGCAGUACAUCUCGCGCUUUGCACUCAUAACGACAGCGUCCAAAAGUACAUUUUACACUCUUGACCUCGGAUCAGGUAGGGAUACCCGCUGAACUUAAGCAUAUCAAUAAGCGGAGGA